rnacentral:rRNA from 1 species
GAUGAACGCUGGCGGCGUGCCUAAUACAUGCAAGUCGAGCGAACAGACGAGGAGCUUGCUCCUCUGACGUUAGCGGCGGACGGGUGAGUAACACGUGGAUAACCUACCUAUAAGACUGGGAUAACUUCGGGACACCGGAGCUAAUACCGGAUAAUCUAUUGAACCGCAUGGUUCAAUAGUGAAAGACGGUUUUGCUGUCACUUAUAGAUGGAUCCGCGCCGCAUUAGCUAGUUGGUAAGGUAACGGCUUACCAAGGCGACGAUGCGUAGCCGACCUGAGAGGGUGAUCGGCCACACUGGAACUGAGACACGGUCCAGACUCCUACGGGAGGCAGCAGUAGGGAAUCUUCCGCAAUGGGCGAAAGCCUGACGGAGCAACGCCGCGUGAGCGAUGAAGGUCUUCGGAUCGUAAAACUCUGUUAUUAGGGAAGAACAAAUGUGUAAGUAACUAUGCACGUCUUGACGGUACCUAAUCAGAAAGCCACGGCUAACUACGUG